UACCAGCACCCCGAGUGGUCGGGACGUUUAUUGGGCCUAAAGCAUCCGUAGCCGGUUCUACAAGUCUUCCGUUAAAUUCAGCUGCUUAACAGAUGGGCUGCGGAAGAUACUAUGGAGCUAGGAGGCGGGAGAGGCAAGCGGUACUCGAUGGGUAGGGGUAAAAUCCGUUGAUCCAUUGAAGACCACCAGUGGCGAAGGCGGCUUGCCAGAACGCGCUCGACGGUGAGGGAUGAAAGCUGGGGGAGCAAACCGG
rnacentral:rRNA from 1 species